GGAGUUGUGGCUCAGCGGUAGAGCGCAAGCCUCACACGUGUGAGACUCUGGGUUCGAUCCUCACUCUGCACCA
rfam:Ictidomys tridecemlineatus contig078083, whole genome shotgun sequence.